rnacentral:lncRNA from 1 species
AAUUCAGGUAGAGGCCUUGUCCACCUAAUUUUAAUACGUUCAAAUGAAAGAGAGAAACACAGUGGAAGAUUAAGAGUCACGCUUGACACUUCCAAGAAAAGCAGUUCCUUGUUGAUCACGGCUUCCCGGGCAGCAGACACUGCUUCUUACUUCUGUGCUACGGACGCACAAUAGUGGAGGUAGCAACUAUAAACUGACAUUUGGAAAAGGAACUCUCUUAACCGUGAAUCCAAUAUCCAGAACCCUGACCCUGCCGUGUACCAGCUGAGAGAC